rnacentral:rRNA from 1 species
UCAAUAAGCGGAGGAAAAGAAACUAACAAGGAUUCCCCUAGUAACGGCGAGUGAAGAGGGAAAAGCUCAAAUUUUGAAUCUGGUGUCUUUGGCGCCCGAGUUGUAAUCUAGAGAAGUGUUUUCCGCUUUGGACCGUGUACAAGUUCCCUGGAACGGGGCGUCAUAGAGGGUGAGAAUCCCGUAUAUGGCACGGACUACCAAUGCUCUGUGAUACACUCUCAACGAGUCGAGUUGUUUGGGAAUGCAGCUCAAAAUGGGUGGUAAAUUCCAUCUAAAGCUAAAUAUUGGCGAGAGACCGAUAGCGAACAAGUACCGUGAGGGAAAGAUGAAAAGCACUUUGGAAAGAGAGUGAAACAGUACGUGAAAUUGUUGAAAGGGAAGCGUUUGAAGUCAGUCAUAUCUGGCGGGAUUCAGCCUGGCUUUUGCCUGGUGUACUUUCCGUCCGAUGGGUCAGCAUCAAUUUUGACCGGGGGAAAAAGACGUUGGGAAUGUGGCUGUCUUCGGGCAGUGUUAUAGCCCGGYGUUGUAUGCCUCGGUUGGGAUUGAGGAAAGCAGCGCGCCUAUAGGCUGGGGGCUAACGCCUCUCAACACGCGCUUAGGAUGCUGGCAUAAUGGCUUUAAGCGACCCGUCUUGAAACACGGACCAAGGAGUCUAACAUGUGCGCAAGUGUUUGGGUGUCAAACCCGAGCGCGUAAUGAAAGUGAAAGGUCGGGAUCCUUCAUUGGUGCACCGACGCCCGGAGCAGACCUUUUGUGACGCAUCCGCGGUAGAGCGUAUAUGUUGGGACCCGAAAGAUGGUGAACUAUGCCUGAAUAGGGUGAAGCCAGAGGAAACUCUGGUGGAGGCUCGUAGCGAUUCUGACGUGCAAAUCGAUCGUCAAAUUUGG